ACACAGAAUUGCACUCAUUGUUCUGUUCUCUUGGUAUGAGCUGCCAUGCCUGCUUUCCUUGCACUGAUAGUUCUCUAGGCUUGGAGAUUCAAUUACUCUGAUUCCUUGGCCUGAAUCCUACUUCUAAUGGAAAUGCUUUUUGUGAAGCACUUCCCAGAGACAGCUUCUCAGUGCUGUUAAAUGGAAACAGCCUGGAUGCACAAAUGAGAGUCUGCACAAAAAAUGCAGCGGUGGAAUUAAGAACUCUGGUUUACAUGGAAUCCUGCCUGCAUAAUUUGAAAAAUAAUAUCCCUGGUUUUGGCCAGUGGCUGCAACAGUUUAUUCUUACAUUUUCAGUGACAACUCGUGGCUUCCUUCUGCACCAUGUCUGCACAUUGCAGGUGAAGAUGCCUUCCAGUGAGAUGCAAUCCUGAAGUGCAGACAGCAGGUGACUUCAGUGAGUGAUUCAAUGAGGCACCUUCUGAAG